GAUGAACGCUGGCGGCGUGCCUAAUACAUGCAAGUCGAGCGAACAGACGAGGAGCUUGCUCCUCUGACGUUAGCGGCGGACGGGUGAGUAACACGUGGAUAACCUACCUAUAAGACUGGGAUAACUUCGGGAAAUCGGAGCUAAUACCGGAUAAUAUAUUGAACCGCAUGGUUCAAUAGUGAAAGACGGUUUUGCUGUCACUUAUAGAUGGAUCCGCGCCGCAUUAGCUAGUUGGUAAGGUAACGGCCUACCAAGGCGACGAUGCGUAGCCGACCUGAGAGGGUGAUCGGCCACACUGGAACUGAGACACGGUCCAGACUCCUACGGGAGGCAGCAGUAGGGAAUCUUCCGCAAUGGGCGAAAGCCUGACGGAGCAACGCCGCGUGAGUGAUGAAGGUCUUCGGAUCGUAAAACUCUGUUAUUAGGGAAGAACAAAUGUGUAAGUAACUAUGCACGUCUUGACGGUACCUAAUCAGAAAGCCACGGCUAACUACGUG
rnacentral:rRNA from 1 species